AUGACGAACCAGGAAAACCAACAAAUCAGGCCAGUUCAUAGUUCGGUUCACGAUCCAAUUCGGGGGUCCAGUUUUGCUGAAGUAAAACGAAGCACCAAACUCUGCCCCCCUGUGCUUGAUUUUGCUUUGCCAAAAUGGAUGCCCGGCUAUCCCUCCCCACUGCCUCCACUGCCAGCAAUCCUCUGGAAGAUGGAAAAAGGCACUCACUGCUCCCUCACAUUGACCAGGUGUGUGAAAGAAAGUGCAGGUGAAGGGCUUCCUAAGCUAUUUAUUUAUAUCUGAGUUGAUUUAGGGGGAAUGUUGAAACAACAGAAGAUAGCACUCUAAAACAUUCAGCAAUGCUAUUAGCAGCUCCAAUAGAUGUAAUAAUAAUAAUAAUUUAUCUUUACAUAUCAUAACUAUUUCUAUCUAGCUUCUGUUUUUUUCCACUACUGUAGGUCCUGCCAUUUAUCUUUAGGCCCUGGUUGCUUUGGGUAUGAGGCCCCCAGUCACUCUCUGAAAACAAUUAAUAAUAAUACCAGAGCUAUCAGUAACUGUAACCACGAACUUGUUGGGAGCAUCUUAGCUAUUUUUAUCUAUUUCACCUUAUCUAUUUUGCUAUUGAUUUUCUAAUUCCCACUCCUCCUCUUUAGGCAUUAUUCUCUUUUAGGUGUGGAGCCCUCAACUGCCUGGUCAACCACUUCCCACCCCUUUCUUAAAGGAAUACAGAGCUCUUUAGAGUCCCCCCCCCCAAAAAAAGCCAACUUCUGCCCUCAAAAUACAGUAACUAUGCAAUGGAAGAAGUUGUUUUCCUGGUGAGAUCAAAGGUUGAUUUAGUCGUUCUACCAAGAGGAUGCUUCAUCCCAGAUAUCAAGACUGGCCUCUGUGCUCCUUAGAGGGAAAGGACUUCAGAUUCUCAGACUUUUUUGCAACAUUACAAAUUGUGAUUAUUUAAAGGAUAUUUUUUUAAAAAUGGGAAAAAAAGUUUGAUCUUAGAACAAUGUGCUUUUCUUCAUUUCUCCAGGUACAGUGAAACAAAAAACAUUAACAGGACGUUUAGUCUUGGUGAACUUCCUGAGCCUCUCUCUCUCUCUCUCUCUCUCUCUCGGCCCUGACUCUGGGACCAUUCCAGCCAGAAUCAAGGUGGUUUUUCUUUCAAUCACCUAUCCCCUCCCCCUCCCUCCUUCAAUAUUCAGAAUGAAAAAAUAUAAUUAUGUAUUGCUUCUUGAUCCCUAACCAGCUCUUCUCCCUUGCUGAAAAUAACUUUAAAAAUUUAAUUCUGUAUCCUUAAGGCUCCAGGACUACAUCCUUAUUUCUUGGAAUCAUAACAACCAUAUCUCAAAGUCUCUUUGGUUAAAAUAAAACACACACACACACACA
rnacentral:lncRNA from 1 species